GACGAACCGUGCGAACGUUAUUCGGAAUCACUGGGCUUAAAGCGCGUGUAGGCGGGACGGCACGUCGGUCGCUGAAAUCCCCCGGCUCAACCGGGGAACGGGCGCCGAUACGACCGCCCUGGAGGGACGUAGGGGGACCUGGAACUUCCGGUGGAGCGGUGAAAUGCGUUGAGAUCGGAAGGAACGCCCGUGGCGAAAGCGAGGUCCUGGACGUUUACUGACGCUGAGACGCGAAAGCCAGGGGAGAGCGAACGGG
rnacentral:rRNA from 1 species